rnacentral:sRNA from 1 species
UUGUUUCUUCUUUUUUUUUUUGUGGAGUAUGCAUGUAUAAGAUGUUAAUGAAUUGGGGGGAGGAGAGAGAGAGAGAUGGAUGUGAUGAGAUUCAGACUUACUGUGUGUGUUGUGGUAAUUGUUUCCUGCAUGCAUGGAUCUGGAUGCAUGGGUGAGGGGGUGAGUUGAGUGGUGAAUUUCUGAUGUACAGUACUACAGGGGGAUAAACUAUCUCAUGGUAGCAGCAGUGUUCUAGCUAUCUCAUGGUCUCGAUCUUAAUUAUGGUGGAUAAACUACGCUUAAUUGCUUGUC